AAUCGGUUCUACGAUGAUGAGGGACGUGUCCCUCGAUAUCGCACCGAGGGGGACAAGCCACGGCAAAAGCACAUAUAAAGUGGAAAGCCGAAACAUCAAGUGUCGGGUAGAGUUUGGUAGGCCGCACCAAGGCUCGAAGAACUCAGGCCCG
rfam:Prevotella bergensis DSM 17361 genomic scaffold SCAFFOLD8, whole genome shotgun sequence.